AGGAGCCGGAUGAGAUGAAAGUCUCAUGUCCGGUUCUGGAGACGAGUAUCACUCGUGAGAGUGUUGCUUAGUUUAAU
rfam:Chrysosporum ovalisporum strain TAM-MAO genome assembly, contig: 29